rnacentral:rRNA from 1 species
GAUGAACGCUGGCGGCGUGCCUAAUACAUGCAAGUCGAGCGAACAGACGAGGAGCUUGCUCCUCUGACGUUAGCGGCGGACGGGUGAGUAACACGUGGAUAACCUACCUAUAAGACUGGGAUAACUUCGGGAAACCGGAGCUAAUACCGGAUAAUAUAUUGAACCGCAUGGUUCAAUAGUGAAAGACGGUUUUGCUGUCACUUAUAGAUGGAUCCGCGCCGCAUUAGCUAGUUGGUAAGGUAACGGCUUACCAAGGCAACGAUGCGUAGCCGACCUGAGAGGGUGAUCGGCCACACGGGAACUGAGACACGGUCCAGACUCCUACGGGAGGCAGCAGUAGGGAAUCUUCCGCAAUGGGCGAAAGCUUGACGGAGCAACGCCGCGUGAGAGAUGAAGGUCUUCGGAUCGUAAAACUCUGUUAUUAGGGAAGAACAAAUGUGUAAGUAACUAUGCACGUCUUGACGGUACCUAAUCAGAAAGCCACGGCUAACUACGUG